rnacentral:lncRNA from 1 species
CUCAGUCUUGAGAAGCCUAGGAGAGAGGGCUGGUCAAGACUUUCUCCUUUUCCUCUCCUGGUGAUAGGACAUCUUUCCCCCUACCAAUUCCCAAAUGAAGAGACAGCUGAAGAAGACAUUGAGCCUCUGUCAAACUUAUCUCACAGCUCCUGGUGCCUGGGUCUGAACUGUGCCAGUUGGGCCAAGACCAGGAUGCUUUACUUGGUUUCAGUUCCUGAAAAGAGCAACUUCCUCAAGAAUUAUCUCAUCCCCUGAAAUCUUAUCUUGGUGAUAAAUCAGCUUUGAUACUCAACACCUUCUCCAUACCCUCAAAUUGCCUUUCCCCUCCUAUUGGAGAGCUGGAGGUCAGGACAAUGAAGUCAUCCCAAGGCCUCCUUUAUAAAGGUCUCAGAUUCACCCCCGACUUCAUUUACUAAGUGC